GGGUGGAAUAACACGUUGAGUAACCUGCCCUUAACUCUGGGAUAAGCCUGGGAAACUGGGUCUAAUACCGGAUAUGACUCCUCAUCGCAUGGUGGGGGGUGGAAAGCUUUUUGUGGUUUUGGAUGGACUCGCGGCCUAUCAGCUUGUUGGUGAGGUAAUGGCUUACCAAGGCGACGACGGGUAGCCGGCCUGAGAGGGUGACCGGCCACACUGGGACUGAGACACGGCCCAGACUCCUACGGGAGGCAGCAGUGGGGAAUAUUGCACAAUGGGCGCAAGCCUGAUGCAGCGACGCCGCGUGAGGGAUGACGGCCUUCGGGUUGUAAACCUCUUUCAGUAGGGAAGAAGCGAAAGUGACGGUACCUGCAGAAGAAGCGCCGGCUAACUACGUGCCAGCAGCCGCGGUAAUACGUAGGGCGCAAGCGUUAUCCGGAAUUAUUGGGCGUAAAGAGCUCGUAGGCGGUUUGUCGCGUCUGCCGUGAAAGUCCGGGGCUCAACUCCGGAUCUGCGGUGGGUACGGGCAGACUAGAGUGAUGUAGGGGAGACUGGAAUUCCUGGUGUAGCGGUGAAAUGCGCAGAUAUCAGGAGGAACACCGAUGGCGAAGGCAGGUCUCUGGGCAUUAACUGACGCUGAGGAGCGAAAGCAUGGGGAGCGAACAGGAUUAGAUACCCUGGUAGUCCAUGCCGUAAACGUUGGGCACUAGGUGUGGGGGACAUUCCACGUUUUCCGCGCCGUAGCUAACGCAUUAAGUGCCCCGCCUGGGGAGUACGGCCGCAAGGCUAAAACUCAAAGGAAUUGAC
rnacentral:rRNA from 1 species